rnacentral:tRNA from 1 species
GAGGGUAUAGCUCAGUGGUAGAGUGCAUGCCUAGCAUGCACAGGGUUAGGGGUUCAACCCCCAGUACCUCCA